UUAAAGGCAGUGCUUUAAUGCCUUUCUAGCUGCCGGGUUAAUCCUUCCUUCCGCGAUAUCCAACUUAUCUACGUGGGGGGUCAUUAGACUCCAAGUAGAUCCGGAAAUGUUGAAUUCUCUCCUCUUCUUAUUGCGAUAUAAAAUGUUUUUUGUUUCAUUUCAUUUACAUUGGGAAAUAGAGAAACGAUCAUUGUGUUUUGUUAGUUUUGAAAACUUUUGAUAUAUUAGUAUUUUGCAUUAUAAGCAGUCAACCGAUUGACAAACUAGAAUUAUUUGAAUUCCGUGUGGAAAGAGCUCGGGUUAAUUUCGAGUGUUAUCUGCAAUCUAGAUGUUUAUAAAUCAUUUCAGUCGUUGAUAUAAUAAUUAAAGGUCGACUGAACAUGAAUUAUAUUAUACAAUUUAAAGCGCAUUUCUGUUUAUGCACGUGAACCCGUCUAACGUUAUUUUCGCAGUUAUAUAAAGUAGCAAAUUAUCGUUCCUGAAUAGGUGGCGCCAUGGUAGCGGAUCCUGUUCCUCUUCUUCCGGUUUCUGCACUGUGCAACUAUUUCAGUUAUAUUUUUAAUUAACGAUGCCAAGUACUUGUUGUUGUGUACCUGGAUGUCAUUUAAGAGGAGGACAUGCAUUUCCAAAUGACUUAAAAAGAAGGAAAAGUUGGAUCAACGCCAUGGCCCAUACGCAGAUUGGACGAGAACACGAUGAUAUCGUGGAGUCCAUCUCAAUCAGCUGUUGUUUGCAAGGCACGUUUUACUGAAAAAGACUACGUGCAGGAAACUAUUCAUGGGCGCAAACCCACCAUACAGAGACUUAAGUCUACUGCCAUUCCCAGCCUAUUUUCCUGGACCAAGCAAGAGACUGAAUCGUCCGCAAAAAGAAAAAUCAGGGCAGUUUCCUGUGAAAACAAAAGAACUAAACUUGAUGAAUAUUGUAGUAGAAAUCUAGAGGAAAGUUUUGAUUGUAAAGUUGGUUUUCCUGAAGAAGUCAUUCAUACUGCAGAAAGGAUUUAUGACUGUCCACCACCAACUGCCGAGCUAAUGUUGAGCUUCACAGAUGGAAUUACGCAAACACCAUCAAUGCCUAUGUUUUUAACAGAGAAUUUUGAAAUGAAGACACGUGACACAGCCAUGCAUUUUUAUACCGGUUUAGAGUUGUAUACUAAAUUUUUAUUUGUUUUGACCACACUUGGUCCAGCAGCACAUUGUUUGAGAUACAUAUAUUUUCAAAUUGAUAGGGUGUCAGUUGAAAAUCAGUUUUUUUAUGACUUUGAUGAAAUUGAGGCAUCAUACAACCAACUUUGAACUGUCUAGAUUCUAGAUUGAAUCUAGUGUUAAGAAUAUUGUGUAUACAUGGAUUGUUUUUAUGUCUAAACAGUGGUGUGAGGCUAACACUUGGCCAUCUAGUGGUUUAGUCAGGUAUUUUUCACCAUCCAACUUCAAAUUAAAGUUUCCUACGACUUGGAUUAUUAUUGACAGCACAGAAUAUCCCGUGAUAAAACCUAAAGCUCCUAGAGCUCAGGCAACCUUUUCAUCAAAUAAAAACAGAAACACUGAAAAUUCUUGAAUGUUCGACACCUGGUGGUUUAGUCAACUAUGUCUCUAUGUCACAUAGAGCGAAUUAUUGGACUUGGCAAAACAUACAAAAUUCUAAUAAAUCCUAUGAAUGGAACUGAAACAAAACUUUCAUCUGAAAUAACAUUUAGUUGUUUUAUGUUGUGUAAUUUUAGAACUUGUAUUGUGCCAAAGGAUGCAUAAAUAAAAGUGACGCAAUGAAUUUUGUUCUGAUAUAUAUAUAUUUACAAUUGCAUGCACAUGUAAAUUGUAAUGCAUAUAAAAAUAAGGAGAUGUGGUAUGAUAUUCAGUGAGUUUAUCAAACUAAAGUGCAUAAGAAAUGGGUUUAAGCAGUUACAGGUGUAACUGUCACCGUACAAUCUCCAACAAUGAGAAAAACUCAUACCCUGUAAAAAAUUUCAGAGAUCUUACAACUAAGUUUUGUUGUCUCACCUUGACUUUGGUGAAUUUUUUAUAUCUGUUGAUGUUAAUAUAAAAAAGAAGAUGUGGUAUGAUUGCCAAUGAGACAACUCUCCACACAUGCACAAGAGACCAAAUGACACAGAAAUUAACAGCUAUAGGUCACAGUACGGCCUUCAACAAUGAACAAAGCCCAUACCGCACAGUCAGCUAUAAAAGGCCCAGAAAUGACAAUGUAAAACAAUUCAAACAAGAAAACUAACGGCCUAUUUUAUGUAAAAAAAUGAACAAAUAUAACAAA